UUCUAAAGCCACAUAUGAAACCAAUAACAAAACCCUAGCAAUCUACUUCACAUUGAAGUGGAAAAAUAUCCGAAAGGAGCAGCUUCAACUUUAAUAAGGGGAAAAAUAUAGAAUCACAAGCAGCUGACUCACUGGAGUGGUCCAUUUGGAUGCACUACUUCUUUUCUUUCAAUAUAGACUAUUAUUAUCUGGAUUACUUCAGGUGAAAAAAGUAUUACUGGACAUUUGUCGCUAAAGAUGGGUUUUCCAGAGAAUUCCCGUGAAGGCUUUACCAGGGGAAAAAUUGUAGGACACACACCACGAAACAAGAAGAAAAGUUUACACCAGUAAUCUGCAUUCUGUCCUGGAGGAAAUUUAAUGCUAGAAAUGGAGAAAAAUAUUAAUGCUCUCUAAACAUCAUAUAUCAAUUAAGUUUUCCAAAACAUUUAUUAGAAAAUUAAGAAGUUGGUUUUCUGUCCCAGUGACUGCUAACAGAGAGAAAGGGAGAGGGAUAGAGAGUUAGGAACAUCGAUGAGAGAAACAUCGACCAGCUGUUUUUGUCCUGAGUUCUUUAAGAUAUAAAAACCUCUUUUGCAUCAAAAUUGACAAGAUCAGGUCUAAUCUGUUGCUAAAUUAUAAUCCACCAAUACCCUAAUGGAGGUAAGCAAAACUA